GGAAUGUUGUUCGCGUGUUUGUUGGCCGAAAGUUUCUGUUAGAACGAAUUAAUUUGAAUGUUUUAAGUGACAUUUUGAAUACAUCACGACAAAUUAUAAAGAAGGAUUUUUUUGUCGAGUAACAGAAACAGCCAUGUCGUUGACAAAGAAAGAAAAACACAAGCAACCAGUUGGUCUAGUAGCUCUUAGUUAUUGCCAUUAUCCACAAAGUCUUGCAUCACCUUGGAGAUUAGACCCUGCCUAUAAGUGUUCCGAAUAUAGAUCACCCUGGACACUUCGUCCUAAAGGAAGAAUGUCGAAUAGAAAGAGCAGUGGAAAGAGAUUUAUUACUUUAGGACCGUAUCAAGAUUUACCAGAGGAGCAUUUCUUCACACCAAAAAAGAUGGAUUUAAAAGUGGUAGCGAGUCGACAUAAUUCCUACGAUAA